CUGAAAUGAGGCAAGCAGAGGGAACCGUUAGAGAGGUGUGUGAGUUGUCUGAGUGAGACACCAGUCUGGCCUGAAUGAGGAGGGAGAAGAGACCGUCGGAGGACCAGGAGUUCCACUGUGAGCAUGUCCGAGGGAGCUGAGAAGCAUCCAAGUGAAGGCGUCGAGGCAAGCAGCUGGCGGUGGAAGCCCAGAGCCUGGUCUGGGCUGGACAAGCGCUUGGCAUCAUUCCCAGGGUUGGCCGCUCCAUGGGGUUGGUGUACUGAUUAAAUGGAACAGUGUGUGUAAGGAGUGUAAUUUGUUCUCAAGUUAUUCCCAUGGUCACUGUAAGUGCUGCCAUCGCUGGCAAGAUGCCACUGCCACCAUAUGCUGUGCCAUGUGCCUCCCCUUCUCUGCUCUGCU